rnacentral:lncRNA from 1 species
CCCAGAGCUGUGACCCUGCUCUCGUCCAAACAUUCGAGUCGCCCAGCAUCUUAGCAAACAUAAGAUGUUAUGGUUACCCAAAAGUGCAGUUAAUAAAGCAGUUAUUGGGUAGUCAUAUCACGUUCCACAAUUCAAGGAAUUCAAUUGAAGACGGUUGAACGACAAAAGUAAUGGCGGCAGUUAGAGAAGGCAGUUUCACGACAAGUUGGCCACUACGAGGAAAGUAGGCAGUUAUAGAGCGAUCAAGCAGUUUUUAAGCGGUUGAUCACGAAGAGAUCAUCCAGGGAGUAUAAAAGGAAGAAAAGACAUAGAGCAAGGGACCCCGAAUCAAA